AAUGCCCUGUUACUCUAAGUUCACCAGAGACCAGCAUUGCCUCUAGGCUGAGAGAGACCUUCAAGCUAAAGCAACAUCAAGAAAAAAAGCUUGAAAAGAAGCAAGUUUAAUGGAUAAAUCAAUUACUAUUGCACCCCCAUUUAACAGUGGCCAGCUGCUGGAUGUGGCUGAUCUGCUCAGUCCAACAUAUGGCUUCAGUCAGUCAAGGCUUUCCCCGGGGAAACAUCAACCACAGAGCAGCAAAAGGACAGGAGAAGCUGUAUCGUUUUCCUGACUUUGCUGCUCCUCUUCUUUCUUUCCUUUCCCUCACUUCAGCUACAGCGCUUGUAUUGACUGUCUGCCUGCUAUGCAAGCCAAAUUUGGGGGGAUGCCGUGCCCAGCUACUCCUCCCAAGCACUUUGCACUGUCCAUGGUCACCCAGGUUGUUGUUCAGUAGGAUUUGGAUGGCUGCACCGGGCACUGCACCUGGAGAAUCCAUUUCUCUUUCCUCCUGUCCUGCCCAGAGCCCUGUGGUUGCAUUUCUGCAGCAGUUUCAGGCACUUGUACUGUUUGCAACCCCUUGCUUGGAAAAUAUAAAGCUGGCAUUACAUUAGGGAAGAAUUAGAGCUGACAGGUGUCAUUUCUACAUUCAGAGAGCUGGAGAUUGAAAAAAAUUUCUUUUGCAAGAGAAAAGUAUGACAAUCUAAAUGAGUUUGGAUUUCCUCCCUGUGUGAUGGAAGAAAAUCGCACACUGCUUUGCCCUGUGUGCUUCUCUUCUCUUAGAGUGAAGGUCUGCACUAUUUGGAGAUUACAAGUCUCUGGAAGAGGAGUCAUCCAUAGAGUAAACAAGAAUACCACAGCAACACUUGAUUUCCACAGUGAUAUGCAGAGCCACCUAGUAAGAAGCAGAGUCUGUCCAAGCAACCCCACCAAUACUUAGGUUUAUACCUUACCUUCCUAGCUGGUUCAGAUCCUCAUCUAGUGUUUUUAGAAUGAUCACCAUGCUGCUUAUUUUUCACAUCAAGGAGUGAUAGCAUUUAACACCUCUAACUUCCUCACUGUUUUUCUUUCAAAGGAAGAAAAAAAAAUCCUUUAAAACACUUUUUUCCUCAAAAAAUUCUAAAUGGAAGCAUAAGAGAAGUGUCAGCAGAGAAGCAAAAGGCCCCAACCCCAACUUUUGAAGCAAGGGCAGCACAAAGGAGAUGGAAGCCCCAAGCCCACCCUAACUUGAUGCACAUUUGGAGUUCAUUUUGCAAACUUACAAGCCUAGCUGGAAACAUACCAGCCUCUUGCAUAACUUCAGAGGCAAUGGUUAGCUAAGU